GUCCUAGCCGUAAACGAUGGACACUGAGUGGAGGAGGGCUUGCCUUUCUCUGCUGCAGCUAACGCGUUAAGUGUCCCGCCUGGGGAGUACGGCCGCAAGGUUAAAACUCAAAGGAAUUGACGGGGGCUCGCACAAGCGGUGGAGCAUGUGGUUCAAUUCGAUGCAACGCGAAGAACCUUACCCGGGCUUGAAGUGGAGGUGGUAGGAACCGGAAACGGUAACGACCCCGCAAGGGGAGCCUUCAUCAGGUGUUGCAUGGCUGUCGU
rnacentral:rRNA from 1 species